rnacentral:rRNA from 1 species
GAAGACCCCCUGAAUUUAAGCAUAUAAUUAAGGGGAGGAAAAGAAACUAACCAGGAUUCCCCUAGUAACGGCGAGUGAAGCGGGAUAAGCUCAACUUGAAAAUCUAAGCGUCUUGUGCGCUUCGAAUUGUAGUCUAUAGAAGCUUUACCAGUGUAUUGCCUCGGUCAAAAUCCCUUGGAAUAGGGUAUCACAGAGGGUGAGAAUCCCGUUUGUGGCUGAGAGUUGCUAUGCGUACGGUAUGCUUUCAACGAGUCGAGUUGCUUGGGACUGCAGCUCAAAGUAGGAGGUAAAUUCCUUCUAAAGCUAAAUAUUGGCGAGAGACCGAUAGCGAACAAGUACCGUGAGGGAAAGAUGCAAAGAACUUUGAAAAGAGAGUGAAAGAGUACCUGAAAUCGCUUAAAGGGAACAGAUUGCAACUAGUGUUGUUUUCGUAUAUUUUUCGUUUAUCUAC